GUAAUGGUGUCUUUAGACACCACUUCCUAUUUUUUGAAAUUAUUUA
rfam:Picea glauca, whole genome shotgun sequence.